rnacentral:rRNA from 1 species
CAUACCUAUCGUUGCUUCGGCGGGAUGCCCCAGUUUGACUUAAAACUGGACCCAGGCGCCCGCCGGAGGACCCAAACUCUUGUUUUUAUAUGUAUCUUCUGAGUAAACAAGCAAAUAAAUUAAAACUUUCAACAACGGAUCUCUUGGUUCUGGCAUCGAUGAAGAACGCAGCGAAAUGCGAUAAGUAAUGUGAAUUGCAGAAUUCCGUGAAUCAUCGAAUCUUUGAACGCACAUUGCGCCCGCCAGUAUUCUGGCGGGCAUGCCUGUUCGAGCGUCAUUUCAACCCUCAAGCCCCCGGGCUUGGUGUUGGGGCUCGGCCCGUCCCUAGCGGAUGCGCCGUCCCCGAAAUCUAGUGGCGGUCUCGCUGCAGCCUCCUCUGCGUAGUAGCUAACACCUCGCAAUGGGAACGCAGCGCGGCCACGCCGUUAAACCCCCCACUUCUGAAGGUUGACCUCGGAUCAGGUAGGAAUACCCGCUGAACUUAAGCAUAUCAAUAAGCGGAGGAA